UACGAAGGGGGCGAGCGUUGUUCGGAUUUACUGGGCGUAAAGGGCGCGCAGGGCGGCUCAUUUUGUCAGGCGUGAAAGCCCCGGGCUUAACCUGGGAACUGCGUUUGAUACGGAUGGGCUAGAGUUCGGGAGAGGAGAGUGGAAUUCCCAGUGUAGAGGUGAAAUUCGUAGAUAUUGGGAAGAACACCGGUGGCGAAGGCGGCUCUCUGGACCGAGACUGACGCUGAGGCGCGAAAGCGUGGGGAGCAAACAGG
rnacentral:rRNA from 1 species